rnacentral:rRNA from 1 species
AUUGAACGCUGGCGGCAUGCUUUACACAUGCAAGUCGAACGGUAACAGGCCUUCGGGUGCUGACGAGUGACGAACGGGUGAGUAAUGCAUCGGAACGUGCCCAGAGGUGGGGGAUAACGCAGCGAAAGCUGUGCUAAUACCGCAUGUGAUCUGAGGAUGAAAGCGGGGGACCAGGCAGCAAUGUUUGGCCUCGCGCCUUUGGAGCGGCCGAUGUCAGAUUAGGUAGUUGGUGGGGUAAAGGCCUACCAAGCCGACGAUCUGUAGCUGGUCUGAGAGGACGACCAGCCACACUGGGACUGAGACACGGCCCAGACUCCUACGGGAGGCAGCAGUGGGGAAUUUUGGACAAUGGGCGCAAGCCUGAUCCAGCAAUGCCGCGUGCGGGAAGAAGGCCUUCGGGUUGUAAACCGCUUUUGUACGGAACGAAAAGGCUCUGGCUAAUACCUGGGGCUGAUGACGGUACCGUAAGAAUAAGCACCGGCUAACUACGUG